rnacentral:misc_RNA from 1 species
UCUCCGUUGGUGAACCAGCGGAGGGAUCAUUACCGAGUUUACAACUCCCAAACCCCUGUGAACAUACCUUACUGUUGCCUCGGCGGAUCAGCCCGCUCCCGGUAAAACGGGACGGCCCGCCAGAGGACCGAAACUCUUCGUUAUUUACUGGCCUCUCUGAGUAACUUAUACAAUAAGUCAAAACUUUCAACAACGGAUCUCUUGGUUCUG